rnacentral:rRNA from 1 species
UUUGGGGUGGGGUGACUGCGUACCUUUUGUAUAAUGGGUCAGCGACUUAUAUUCUGUAGCAAGGUUAACCGUAUAGGGGAGCCGAAGGGAAACCGAGUCUUAACUGGGCGUUAAGUUGCAGGGUAUAGACCCGAAACCCGGUGAUCUAGCCAUGGGCAGGUUGAAGGUUGGGUAACACUAACUGGAGGACCGAACCGACUAAUGUUGAAAAAUUAGCGGAUGACUUGUGGCUGGGGGUGAAAGGCCAAUCAAACCGGGAGAUAGCUGGUUCUCCCCGAAAGCUAUUUAGGUAGCGCCUCGUGAACUCAUCUUCGGGGGUAGAGCACUGUUUCGGCUAGGGGGUCAUCCCGACUUACCAACCCGAUGCAAACUGCGAAUACCGAAGAAUGUUAUCACGGGAGACACACGGCGGGUGCUAACGUCCGUCGUGAAGAGGGAAACAACCCAGACCGCCAGCUAAGGUCCCAAAGUCACAGUUAAGUGGGAAACGAUGUGGGAAGGCUCAGACAGCCAGGAUGUUGGCUUAGAAGCAGCCAUCAUUUAAAGAAAGCGUAAUAGCUCACUGGUCGAGUCGGCCUGCGCGGAAGAUGUAACGGGGCUAAACUGUGCACCGAAGCUGCGGCAGCGACGCUUAUGCGUUGUUGGGUAGGGGAGCGUUCUGUAAGCCUGCGAAGGUGUCCUGUGAGGGAUGCUGGAGGUAUCAGAAGUGCGAAUGCUGACAUAAGUAACGAUAAUGCGGGUGAAAAGCCCGCUCGCCGGAAGACCAAGGGUUCCUGUCCAACGUUAAUCGGGGCAGGGUGAGUCGACCCCUAAGGCGAGGCCGAAAGGCGUAGUCGAUGGGAAACGGGUUAAUAUUCCCGUACUUGGUGUUACUGCGAAGGGGGGACGGAGAAGGCUAUGUUGGCCGGGCGACGGUUGUCCCGGUUUAAGCGUGUAGGCUGGUUUUCCAGGCAAAUCCGGAAAAUCAAGGCUGAGGCGUGAUGACGAGGCACUACGGUGCUGAAGCAACAAAUGCCC